CAGCCCUCAAGCACUGCUUGGUGUUGGGGCCCUACGGCUGCCGUAGGCCCCGAAAGGAAGUGGCGGGCUCGCUACAACCCCGAGCGCAGUAAUUCGUUUCCUCGCUAUGGGCGUUGCGGCGGCGCUCCUGCCGUUAAAGACCCCCGUCUUUGACCAAA
rnacentral:misc_RNA from 1 species